rnacentral:rRNA from 1 species
UGAGGAAUAUUGGGCAAUGCCCGCAAGGGUGGCCCAGCAACGCCGCGUGGAGGAUGAAUGUCGUAAGAUUGUAAACUCCUGUUAGAGGGGAAGAAUAGUACCGGUUGGACCGGUAUAUGACUGUACCCUCAGAGAAAGCCCCGGCUAACUACGUGCCAGCAGCCGCGGUAAUACGUAGGGGGCAAGCGUUGUCCGGAUUUACUGGGUGUAAAGGGCGCGCAGGCGGGAUAAAAAGUCAGUGGUGAAAUCCUACAGCUUAACUGUAGAACUGCCUUUGAUACUUUUAUUCUUGAGUUCGGGAGAGAGAGACGGAAUUCCAGGUGUAGUGGUGAAAUACGUAGAUAUCUGGAAGAACACCAGUUGCGAAGGCGGUCUCUUGGUCCGACACUGACGCUGAGGCGCGAAAGCGUGGGGAGCAAACA